rnacentral:SRP_RNA from 1 species
UCGUGCUAGGCGGGGAACUGGCGGUGCCCUGUACCCGCAAUCCGCCAUAGCGGGGUCGAAUCCCCCUCCGAGGGCCGAUCCGCUCGAGACUGCUGUGGUCAGGCGGUGUUGAGGACUGGGUCCUGCGCGGCAGGAGCCUUCAAACCCCGUCAGGUCCGGAAGGAAGCAGCGGUACGUAGUAUCUCCUGGGCGCCGCAGGAGCGCCUGGUCUGAGCCGGAUGGCUAUGGUAAGUUGGGUAGGCUGGCUCGACGAGGGGUGCACGA